UACGUAGGGGGCGAGCGUUGUCCGGAUUUAUUGGGCGUAAAGAGCGCGUAGGCGGUUUGGUAAGUCGGAUGUGAAAUCCCGGGGCUCAACCCCGGACCUGCAUCCGAUACUGCCCGACUAGAGGUAGGUAGGGGAGAUCGGAAUUCCUGGUGUAGCGGUGAAAUGCGCAGAUAUCAGGAGGAACACCGGUGGCGAAGGCGGAUCUCUGGGCCGUACCUGACGCUCAGGCGCGAAAGCUAGGGGAGCGAACAGG
rnacentral:rRNA from 1 species